rnacentral:rRNA from 1 species
CGCUCUUUGCAAAAUAAUUAAAGUAUAAAGAGUUCUGCCUGCCCAGUGACGUUGUUAAACGGCCGCGGUAUCUUGACCGUGCAAAGGUAGCAUAAUCAUUUGCCUCUUAAAUGGGGGCUGGUAUGAAUGGCAAGACGGAGGUUGAGCUGUCUUUUUCUUAUACUUUGAAAUUAAUAUUCUUGUGAAGAAGCAGGAAUUAAUUCGUAGGACGAGAAGACCCUAUCGAGCUUUAGCAUAAGCAUUAAUAGCAUUUUCAUUGUGAGAAUCUAAUUUUACUAAGUUUUAGUAUAAUGAAUUUAAUUUUUUAAAGAAAAGCUAUAUGAUACUAUUGUUUUGGUUGGGGCAACCAUGGAGAAAAUAAAUCCUCCAUUAAAAUAAAAAAAAGAUACUACUUUGUUAAAAAUUUAAGCGAUCCGGGAUAAUCUCGAACAAAGGAAUAAGUUACCGUAGGGAUAACAGCGUAAUUUUUUUGGAGAGUUCAUAUUGAUAAAAAAGUUUGCGACCUCGAUGUUGGAUCGGGAUUUCCUAGAGAUGCAGCAGUUUCUAAGGGUUGGUCUGUUCGACCAUUAAAAUCCU